AUACUUACCUGGUGGGAGAGAUAGCAUGAUCAUGAAGGUGGUUCUCUCAGGGUGAGCCUCAUCCAUUGCACUCAGGUCAUUCUGACCCCUGCAAUUUCCCCAAGCACGGGAAAUUUGGCUGUACAGUUUCUGUUGGUAGAGGACUGUGUUCACACUAUCCUCUG